UACGUAGGGUGCGAGCGUUGUCCGGAAUUAUUGGGCGUAAAGAGCUUGUAGGCGGUUUGUCGCGUCUGCUGUGAAAAUCCGGGGCUCAACCCCGGACUUGCAGUGGGUACGGGCAGACUAGAGUGUGGUAGGGGAGACUGGAAUUCCUGGUGUAGCGGUGAAAUGCGCAGAUAUCAGGAGGAACACCGAUGGCGAAGGCAGGUCUCUGGGCCACUACUGACGCUGAGGCGCGAAAGCUGGGGGAGCGAACGGG
rnacentral:rRNA from 1 species